GGUCGGAACUCUGGUGGCCUGGUGCCUCUCCCAGCCAGGACCUGGAUGAAUGAACACACACCCUUCCUUUCCCAGGCUCUGCCGUGUCUUCUGUCAAAGGUCCCUCCUGCUACCACCACGGAUGCCACCUAAUCCCUGCCCUCUUGAAGAGCUACUUCCCUCCUCCCUUCCUCCCCUGCCCAAGAUCUCCCUGCCCCUCAAGUCCUGGCUCCAGAGGGGAGUCAGGAGGCCCCCGGAAGAAAGCGUCUCCCUCCCGGCUCUCUGCUUGCCAUCACCCAGGAGGCCGACGUGGCCAGGGUGACUGCAGGACAGCUUGUGUCUUUGCAAGUCAAGGUGGGACAGCUUCGUCCCAAAGACCGAGACUACAGGACUUGACGCCGCAAUCCUCCAGGGUCGGAUGGACCCAGCGCAGAGGAGAUUCACGAUGGACUGCCCUCCCUCCCC
rnacentral:lncRNA from 1 species